rnacentral:misc_RNA from 1 species
AGGCGAAAUCCAUCGAUGUCAUGCCCGGACUUGUUCCGGGCAUCCCGAUGGAGAAGCACUGUGCCCAAUCAAUCGGGAUCACCGGGACAAGCCCGGUGAUGAGAGUGAUGCGAAAAAUUUCGUCGCCAGUGCUCCUCGCAAUGACAAGUACAAGCGCUAUGCGUCGUCGCAAAGUUGCGUCAGCAUCACUGACUCACCCGUCAACACAUCAUUAGGAUUUGUGGCGCGCGAUGCCUUGCGCGUUGUGUAAAUGUUUACCGUCUCGCUUAAGCCAGAUUAAAAAUCGCGGUUAAGAAUUAGGGUUAAGUGCCGCUUAAACA